ACAGCAGUCGCCGCGGGAAUACGUAGGUGGCGAGCGUUGUCCGGAAUUAUUGGGCGUAAAGGGAGCGCAGGCGGACAUAUAAGUCCAUCUUAAAAGUGCGGGGCUCAACCCCGUGAGGGGAUGGAAACUGUAUGCCUUGAGUGCAGGAGAGGAAAGCGGAAUUCCCAGUGUAGCGGUGAAAUGCGUAGAUAUUAGGAGGAAUACCAGUGGCGAAGGCGACUUUCAGGACUGCAACUGACACUGAGGCACGAAAGCGUGGGGAGCAAACAGGAUUAGAUACCCGAGUAGUCCCUGUCUCUUAUACA
rnacentral:rRNA from 1 species